GACGAACGCUGGCGGCGUGCCUAAUACAUGCAAGUCGAACGCAGUGGGGGCGGGUGAGUAACACCUGGGUAACCUCCCGUCAGAGGGGAUAACACUUGGAAACAGGUGCUAAACCGCUACUGAUGGAUGGACCCGCGGUGGAGUAGCUAGUUGGUGAGGUAACGGCGCACCAAGGCCACGAUGCAUAGCCGGUCUGAGAGGGUGAUCAGCCACACUGGGACUGAGACACGGCCCAGACUCCUACGGGAGGCAGCAGUGGGGAAUCUUCGGCAAUGGACGAAAGUCUGACCCAGCAAUGCCGCGUGAGUGAAGAAGGUUUUCGGAUCGUAAAACUCUGUUGUUAGAGAAGCGGUAUCUAACCAGAAAGCCACGGCUAACUACGUGCCAGCAGCCGCGGUAAUUC
rnacentral:rRNA from 1 species